ensembl:snoRNA SNORD24 Small nucleolar RNA SNORD24
UGCAAAUGAUGUAAACGAAUAUUUGCUAUCUGAGUGAUGCUGACGCAUUUCCACCAAGAUCGCUGAUGCA